UGGAAAGAGUCUAUGUAUAACAUAGGAAAUUAGUAGUGUAAUGUAUAACUUAGCUUUGAUGAUCUCAUAAGCAUGCCUGUUAAUCAUUGUCACUUGCUGUACUCUAUUGUUGUUUGCUGUGCUCACCCCAAUAAAAGCCAGAAGGGAUCAGACGGUUUUUGCUACACGCCUGAGCGAGCGGUAGCCCUCUGCUCUACUUCAUCCUACACGCCAAGCUUGCCUCAGUGUCUCCGUUCACAAACAAUAUCAACAAAUGGCGCCUGAACAGAUCAGGGACCCGAAGGAACUAAGAAGUUCUGGAUUCCUGAUAAAAGAAUCAAGUUAAGGCAUGGCGAGCAAGAGGAAGCGUGAUGAAGUGGGACUGGAAGACUGGUUUGCGCAGCUAACCAUCAAGGGAGGACAAACAAUUCGCACGCUGUUGUCUCGAACCCGAAACACUCCUUCACCUACAUGGGGACAGGUGAAACGCCUAUGCCAGGAAGGAGAACAUCUUGUGACUGACCAUAGAAGGCCCUGUAACUAAUGACUCUAAUUGAAUACCUGGACUUUUUGAAGAUCGUAGGCCUUUGAAACCAGAUGCCGGAAUGCCUGUGUGACUGGGACUGGGUGAUCAUUAUUUGCAAUUGUAUUUUAAAGCCUGGUUGAGUGUAGCUAAAAACACCACUAAUUCUUGAAAGGACUAGUUCAAUGGACUCAAACUACUAGGGAAAUAUCUUGUUUUAAUUGUACCUUAUAAUGAAAUAGCUUUGCUAUCUUCUCUGUCAUGAUUCAAACCUGCAGCAAAAUUAAAAAGGGGGAAAAUGUUGCAAUAAAGUGGAAUAAAAAGUUAACUAGAAGAGGACGUUCUGCCAGGAAAAGGCGGGAGCCUGCAAGCAGGCCGCGUCAGAACAAAGUCUUGCACGCAAGACUUAUUGUUCAGAGGCAGAACUUUCCUUGAGGUGAAAAAUAGUCCAUGAGGACAUGGAAAGCAAAGGAGGGUACACUGCUGCAGGUGGAAAGAGUCUUUGUAUAACAUAGGAAAUUAAUAGUGUAAUGUAUAACUUAGCUUUGAUGAUCUCAUAAGCGUGCCUGUUAAUCAUUGUCACUUGCUGUACUCUAUUGUCGUUUGCUGUGCUCACCCACAAUAAAAGCCAGAAGGGA